rnacentral:rRNA from 1 species
AAUGAACGCUGGCGGCAUGCCUAACACAUGCAAGUCGAACGAAGGCUUCGGCCUUAGUGGCGCACGGGUGCGUAACGCGUGGGAAUCUGCCCUUGGGUUCGGAAUAACAGUUAGAAAUGACUGCUAAUACCGGAUGAUGUCGUAAGACCAAAGAUUUAUCGCCCAAGGAUGAGCCCGCGUAGGAUUAGCUAGUUGGUGGGGUAAAGGCCUACCAAGGCGACGAUCCUUAGCUGGUCUGAGAGGAUGAUCAGCCACACUGGGACUGAGACACGGCCCAGACUACUACGGGAGGCAGCAGUGGGGAAUAUUGGAAAAUGGGCGAAAGCCUGAUCAAGCAAUGCCGCGUGAGUGAUGAAGGCCUUAGGGUUGUAAAGCUCUUUUACCCGGGAUGAUAAUGACAGUACCGGGAGAAUAAGCACCGGCUAACUUCGUG